GCUAAACCGCUGAGCCACCCGGCCUGCCCUAUGUUAUUUUUUUUAAAUCAAAGACUUUAGCUUUGAGAAUCUAGGGAUCAGCAGACUAAGUAAUGACUGUGUUCACCGUAGAUGUUGGUCAUGUUGCAGGAUUUCUUUUUCUUCGGUACCUGGGUGGCUCUUGGUCCCACCACUUGGAAGAAUGAAGAAUGAAGAGGAAGACCAGACCAAGAGUGGUGGGCAGUAGAGCAAAGUUUCUUGGGUGAUCCUCCUGGGCAACAGUAAAGCAAAGUUUAUUGAGUAACAGGCAAAGCUCUGGAAGAGGGAGGCGACCGGAGAGGAUUUCUAAGUCUAGGGGUUUUUGUGGGCUUGUUGGCAGGCUGUUGUGAUCGGCUUAAUCCUCCCCGUGUCUGUCACCCAAUCAGGCUUUUGCCCAAGAGCUCCAGGUAGGUGUUCACAUGGGAAAGGGUGGAGGACACCUUCCAGGGUGGUGCAGAGUCCUUAUAGGGGUGGUUUCUUCCUGGGGGAGGGGGAUUUGCCUUGUCCCUGCCUGCCUUUCUCUGACUAUCCUUCAUUAGUCAUUAGCUAAUACUUAGUUCCUAUUUAGGAGUUCAAGUUUUGUUGAAUGCAAAGGAGUAAGACCUAACACAGCAGGGGUCCUCCGAAAAAGCUUCAUGAACACACGGAGUAUACACGAGCUGAAUAAAGCCCAAGGGUAUUUCAAGGGAGUUUUAUGAGCGUAGUAAUGAGUAUAUACGAAAAAGAGCCAGACUUACUUUUUAUUAAAGAUUGUAUUUAUUUGGGAGUGAGAGGGAGCACGAGUGGGGGAAGCAGACUCCCCACUGAGCAGGGAGCCCCAACAGGUGCAGGCUCGAUCCCAGGACCCCAGGAUCAUGACCUGAGCCCAAGGCAGACACUAAACCGACCGAGCCACCCAGGUGCCCCAAGAGCCUGACUUGUGAUAACAAUUCACACUUGGAGAGUUGUGUAGGGGUCAUGUAUUGAGCCUAUGCUCUGUUCACUCUAAGAUGAAGCCAUGGAAAGGUCUCUCUGGAGCACUGUGGAGCCCAUGUACCUGAGGAUGUAUUUACAUGAGGGACAGAAAGGCUUUUAGGAGCCAAGCUCAGGCAUCUGGUGUAAGGCAAUGUCAAGAACUGUAAAGGGUCUGAGAUUGUACUCUACUUGCAAGCUAAGAGUUCGCCUGCCACAUGGAUGUUGGUAGAAGACAUGAGACUCGUGAGUCAGAGAGGAAGGAGAGUUUAUGACAGCAUUAGUAGCAUCCAGAAUAUCGGUAUUGCAGGGAGGAGGAGACUUGUUAACUGAGUCCCAAUACCCCGCACAGGCAGUGGGUAGCGUUAUAGGAGAGGAACCUUUAUUUUAGGGAGUCUGAACCUUUUAUAAUGGACAGAUACUAUUUCCAUCUUCUAAGGGUGUUUGCCAAACAAACAUCUCGAAGAGGUAGCCCCGAACAAAGGGCAGUCAGUGCUUCACUCACUGUAUGUGUAAAAAUGCCAAAUUCGUGGAGAUUUAUCUCCAAAUAGGCAACUGGCCUAGGUGUCUGAGGGACAGGCUAAUUCUGAGCACGGGUUAGAAUAGCCUCUUAUGCAUCCUUGUUCCUAGAGAUUCAGGCCAGGGUUCUAAGCCAAGACGGCUGUGAUAAAAGAAGAAAAACUAAAGGGACCAUUUCACUAAAACCCUGCUGUGUCACUGAGGGUGCAAAGAAUUCUCAGCACGGGUACAGUUAGUUACUUUGACAGAACUGAGGAGUUUGACUUGGGUACGGAGAGAAGACAGUCCCACACCUGCACAAACAUUAUUGCACUGGCCUGAACGGCAGAGGAAGAGAAUGGAAGAUGCUACCUAGUAACCAGAAUGAUCUGCUCAGAGAUGCUUGUGGUAGUCCAACAGUGGCCUGGGUUUAAAUAUAAGAAAUUUAAAAUUAUGAAGUUCUAUCAACAUUCAGGGACUUUUGAACUAUCCCAAAAGCUUUGAGAGUAUUGAGAGUAUAGCAAUUUUUUUUUUUUAGAUUUUAUUUAUUUAUUCAUGAGAGAGACAGACAGACAGACGGAGGGAGAAGUAGGCUCCAUGCAGGGAGCCCCAUGUGGGACUCAAUCCCAGGACCCCAGGAUCACGACCUGAGCCAAAGGCAGAUGCCCAACCGCUGAGCCAGCCAGGCAUCCCUAUCACAUUGUUAUUUAAUCAUUAUGCCACAUUACCACAAAGGAUGGAGGAUAUUGACCUUCCAUAGAUGUACCCAGAUUUCCAAAAAAAAAAAAAAAAAAAAAACCACGAAAAAAAAGAAAGACUCAAAGCAAUUUUGUAUAUAAAUGAAAAAAAUUGUACUAUAAAAUACUUUGUUAAAUGUUCAUCUAAUGAUAUUAUGAAUACGAGAAAAUCAGUCAUGUCAGAGUCAACAAGAUAUACCUUGAGGAUUUUUAAAAAUGCCACAAUUCUCCCCUAACCUCUACUCUGCAUCAACAGUAAUAAAACAGGUUCACACAGAAAAAAUAAAAAAAUAAAAAAAUAAAACAGGUUCACACUAUUGAAAACCACAAAAAUUAACCUUAUUUUAUUGCUAAACUAAAAACAUAAAAUUGGUGGAUUCCACCCCUACCCUCUUGCUACUAAUGUAAGGAGGACUUUUAUAUCUCUUUUGGCCAUCUUAACUGCUAGGUCUCAACUAAAACAAUGCUUAUAGACAUUUUGUUUUAAUAUAGAUUCUGAUGCCCUUAUUUGUAAUUUCCUCUUCUACCUAGUCAUGGACAAAAGUUUGGAAAAUAACUCAAAAACAUAAAAAUAACUCAAAAUGGCCACAAGCAUAGGUUGUGGAUCAUGUGUAAUUCCCUGAAUGUCAGCUGUAAUUUUAACUCUUUCUCUCUCAGGAAAUCAUAUUGGAAUACAUGUGAGACAGUGAUUUUCAAAUCACUUGUGUGAUUUCAAAACGUGUGUGUGUGUGUGUGUGUGUGUGUGUGUGUGUGAGUGUAUGUACACAAACAUGAAUAUACCUAAAUAAUUCAAAGCUUUGGUGACUUAUUAUGGGUAAAUUAUUUGUGAUCACUUCAUAUCAAAACAUGACACACAAAUGUGUUAUUUCACUGAGGCUGCAAAACACAAAAAUCAAAAAACAAUCAUUCAAGUCUUCAUUCUUGAGACUCCUACCGCUGAAUUCACAUUUAUACCAAUUGUUCACAGGACAGUCUUUGAAGAAAAAAUAUGUGGAAGAAGUCAUUUUAUAGACCUAAUGUUUAAGUUUUAAUAUGCUACUGAAUUGUAAUCCAUGUGGAAAUACCAGCUAAGACAGCCGUCCAUGAAGCCUAGCCCAGUGAGAUCCAACAAUUAUGGGUUGGUGUUCAACUGGAUGAGCCUUCUUUAUGUUGAAAUAGGAGGCAAAUGGCUUUAUAGGACUGCAUGAAGGCACAGGUGUGAAAAAAAAGGCAAUUAUUUUUGCUUUAUUUGGCAUUGGGCAGGCUUCAGUUGGAAGAAACCAUAUUUAAUUUUCCUGUCACGCUGUAUAAAGAGAAAAAACUUGGAGCAUGUUCAGAGGAGAACAGCGACUGAUUAAAGGCUAAGCUAUUCUCAGACCCCAGCCGAGUGUCCUAGAAUUCAACUUUUCUGACUCUGACUCUACCUGGGAUAGUAUCGCAGCCCAGUUAAGGAUCCUGACCGGUGAGACUGCAUCGCUACUUCAGAAUCAAUCCCAAGUGCAGGCUGCUACACGCGCUUCUGACCUACGAGCUCUAACUUGGAAGUUUCCACAACCCUGUCACUGGGUUCGACUAACUUGCUAAUGUGGCUCACACUCAGAGAAACAUAUUAUUUACUAGAUCAGCAGUUUAUUGUAAAUGGAUAUAACUCCUCCAAGGAGCCCUAACUUUUUCCUUCUCUACGCCGGUUCCAUAGCACCUCCGUACAAUUCACCUGACAAAAAUUAAUGAUUAUUUCAGUUAAUGCUGAGUUCUGUUGAUUGUAUCAUAAAAGGACCCAGAUCCAAGUUAUAAAGGCAGGUAACACCCUCAGGUGUGCAGUUACCACACCAGCAGCCCUGGUGAUAGGACAAUAAUAUGCUGUAGGGUUUCACAGGGCAAAGUCCUGUUAGGACAUUCUGAUGAAGCUGUUAACAACAUCAAAGUCCCAGACAGCACUGGUGUCUGCUGGGCCUACUGAAGACCAAAACAGAUUAGUGAUAAAGCAGAUAUGGUAUCUGUAAUGUUUUUAACUACUGGUGAGAUCCAGGUGAAGAGUGUUAAUAUGCGGGCUCACGUACUAAUCUUUUCCUUUUUAAAAAUAAAAAGUUGGGAUACUCUGA